rnacentral:rRNA from 1 species
UCAGAACGUCGUGAGACAGUUCGGUCCCUAUCCGUCGCAGGCGUAGGAAAUUUGAGAAGACCUGUCCUUAGUACGAGAGGACCGGGAUGGACGUACCUCUGGUGUACCAGUUGUUCUGCCAAGGGCAUGGCUGGGUAGCUAUGUACGGAAUGGAUAAGCGCUGAAAGCAUCUAAGCGCGAAGCCAACUUCAAGAUAAGAUUUCCCACCGCAAGGGUAAGACCCCAGAAAGACUAUCUGGUUGAUAGGUCGAAGGUGUAAGUGCAGCAAUGUAUUUAGCUUAUCGAUACUAAUAGGUCGAGGACUUGACCAA